GUCCAGACAGAGGCCAUGAAGCAGAUUCUCGGCAUAAACAAGAAACUUCGGAACCUGGAGAAGAAAAAGGGUAAACUUGAUGAUUACCAGGAAUGAAUGAAUAAAGGGGAAAGGCUCAAUUAAGACCAGCUGGAUGCUGUAUCUAAGUACCAGGAAGUCACAAAUAAUUUGGUGUUUGCAAAGGAAUUACAGAGGAGUUUCAUGGCAUUAAGUCAAGAUAUUCAGAAAGCAAUAAAGAAGACAGCAUGUCGGGAACAGCUUAUGACAGAAAAAGCAGAACAGAAGCGCUUAAAAACUGUACUUGAGUUACAGUAUGUAUUGGAUAAGCUGGGAGAUGAUGAUGUGAGAAUGGAUCUGAAACAAGGUUUGAGUGGAGUGCCAAUAUUGUCUGAAGGGGAGUUGCCAUUGUUGGAUGAGUUCUACAAGAUAGUAGACCCUGAGCGUGACAUGAGUUUAAGGUUAAAUGAGUUUAAGGUUACAUGCCUCAGCUCACUUGUGGGAUUUGCUGGAAGAGAAAGAAAAGCCUGUGUGUGGAGCAACCUAUAAAGCUCUAAAGGAAAUUGUUGAGCAUGUUUUUCAGACACACUACUUUGAUAGCACUCACAAUCAUCAAAACGGGUUGUGUGAGGAGGAAGAGGCAGCUUCAGCACCCACGGUGGAAGACCAGGUAGCUGAAGCUGAACCUGAGCCAGCGGAAGAAUACACAGAGCAAGGUGAGGUUGAAUCAACAGAGUAUGUCAAUAGGCAGUUCGUGGCAGAAACACAGUUCAGCAAUGGUGAGAAGGAGCAAGUGGAUGGGUGGGCAGUUGGAACAGUUGAGGUUGUAAACCCACUCCAGCAGCAACCUCAGACUGUAACCCCUUCAGUACCAGAGCCCCACUCUUUGACUCCAGUGGCUCAGUCAGAUCCACUUGUGAGAAGGCAGCAUGUACAAGAUCUUAUGGCACAAAUGCAAGGGCCCUAUAAUUUCAUACAUGAUUCAAUGUUGGGUUUUGAAAAUCAGACGCUUGAUCCUGCCAUUAUAUCAGCACAGUCUAUGAACCCUACCCAGAACAUGGAUAUGCCUCAGCUGGUUUACCCUCAGGUUCAUUCUGAAUCUAGACUUGCCCAAUCUAAUCAAGUUCCUGUACAGCCAGAAGCCACACAGGUUCCUUUAGAAACAGUGUUAUAACAGUUGUGUUAUAAGCUAGGGGUAUACAGCAUCUCAGCCCUUGUACCAGCCCUCUCAUGCUACAGCGCAGAGGCCACAGAAAGAGCCGAUUGAUCAGAUUCAGGCAACAAUAUCUUUAAAUACAGACCAGACUACAGCAUCCUCACCCCUUCCUGCUGCUUCUCAGCCUCAAGUAAACCUUAGCACAGCAGUGGAAUCAAUGUAAAUGCAGCUCCAUUCCAGUCCAUGCAAAGGGUGUUCAGUAUGAACGCUCCAGUUCCUCCUGUUAAUGAACCAGAAACUUUAAAACAACAGAGUCAGUACCAGACCAGUUAUAACCAGAGUUUUUCCAGUCAGCCUCACCAAGUGGAAAAAACAGAGCUUCAGCAAGACCAGCUGCAAACGGUGGUUGCUACUUAACCAUGGAUCCCAGGACCAGCCUCAUCAAGUGCCUGGUAACCACCAGCAACCCCCACAGCAGAACACUGGCUUUCCACGUAGCAGUCAGCCUUAUUACGACAGUCAUGGGGUAUCUCGAGGAGGGUCUCGUGGUGCCAGAGGCUUGAUGAAUGGAUACAGGGGCCCUGCCAAUGGAUUUAGAAGAUGGUAUGAUGGUUACCGCCCUUCAUUCUCGAACACUCCCAACAGUGGUUAUACACAGUCUCAGUUCAGUGUUCCCCGGGACUACUCUGGCUACCAGCGGGAUGGAUAUCAGCAGAAUUUCAAGUGAGGCUCUUGGCAGAGUGGACCACGGGGAGCCCCACGAGGUCGUGGAGGACCCACAAGACCCAACAGAGGGAUGCCACAAAGGAACACUCAGCAAGUGAAUUAA